rnacentral:misc_RNA from 1 species
AUGUUCCCCACGGGAAGUAACGUCUCGAUUGCCACUAAUCUCCAGUGGGGCCGUGAAGACUGGAGGAACUCGUCGAAUAUGGAUCUAACGGCUCUUUACGGGAUGCAGCAGCGAAGUCUCCUGCCCUACUUGUCCGCGUAUCACCCUUACAAUAGCUUCCCGAUGGCGUCUUACCAGAGCUACUUCCACUUCCGGCACUACUUUCGAUCGCAGCUCACGCUCGAUCCCUAUUUCGCCCUCAAUUAUCACGAAUGCUUGGACGCGAAGGACUUGUACGCGUCGCUUUUCGACUCCCCGGUAUCCCUCGGAUCAGAAGGCUCGCCACUCGGGAACCAGCCGGCGGACGCACCUUCACCCAUAAACUUUCCUGCUCCAGGGGAGAGCAUGGCCGACACCUCGACCCUGUCGCCGGAAGCGAACACGCCGAGCUCGCCGGGCUGCCCUAUGGUCACAGUGAAAAGCGAGUACCUGCUGGGCAGCCCGAGUCCGGGGACACCGCGAGGAGACUCUCUCCGUGGUGCUGGCAGCGGCGGCAGCGGCGGCGGCAGCGGCGGCGGCGGCGGCGGCGGCGGCGGCGGCGGUAGCGGUGCUGGCGGAGGAAGCGGCCAAGAAGGUCGCGACGCGACGUGUUCAGACCGCGCAUCGCCCGACUCGGUCUUCCCGGACGCCAGCCCUAUGCUGAGCUUCAGGGUCGUCGACGAGCCACAGCAGCAGCAACAGCAGCAACAACCGCAGCAGCAACCGCAGCAGCAACAUCACCAUCAGCAGCCGCAACCGCAGCAUCAGCAGCAACGUUCCGCAACACCCGCACCAGCCAGAUCGUCACCCUACUCUCCGGUUCAAGCGGUCUCGUCGACUCCGAUGGGUCAAGAAGCCACCUCGAGGAGCGAUAGCCCGGAUAAGGGCGAUUUGUCGUCCGCGCAGACCAAGGAAGAGUCCGAUAACUCGGUAUUCGACGGAGGUGGAGGCGGCGGCGGCGGCGGCGGCGGCGGCGGCGGUGGCGGUGGCGGUGGCGGUAGCGGUCGCUCGGAAGCCUCCAGCCAACCUAGUCACCGGAACAGCCCGUCGUCGCAGUUCAACCCGAGCCAGAGCGUCAGUCCGGGUGGUGGGACCGCGCACGGGCCGCAACAACAAGCGCCGCAGACCUCGCCGACGCUGACGAGGCCGCGCGCACCCUCGGUGCCGCCGCACCUGUUGGCGCACCAUCAUCAGUUCUGGUCGCAGAAUACCGGUAUGCAAGGAUUCGCCACGCAGAGGCUACUCAACGGCGUCAUCAGCAGCGUCGGCUACGGCCAGAACGCCACCGCCGUCUCCACGAGCAGCGGUACCAGCACCAGCGGGAACGUCGCCAGCUGUGUCACCACCGGUGCUACCACCACAGCAACGUGCGAAGGGAUGAAACCACCGGCGCAGAGAGCAGCGCCGGCACCACCGCGGCCCCCGCCUACAGUGAUAAUGGGCGAGAUCGGCGGCGUCCGGACAAUGAUAUGGUCGGCGCCGCUGGACCCGGUACCGCCGCCUGCAGCGUCGUGGACGACGACCGCGGCGGCAGCGGCAUCGUGCUCCUCGUCGGAGGAGUCUGCCGCCCAGCUGCUGCUGAACCUCGGCCAAGAGUCCCGGGGUAAACCGCCCACCUCGUCGGUGUCGUACUCGUCCGGACCACCGCUCAACAUGGAGAGGCUAUGGGCCGGCGAUCUCACACAGCUGCCAGCCGCUCAACAGAUGCAGGCGCUGAAUCUGACCGCCUCUGGUUCCGGCCAGCCGUGGGUGAGCAACGGUGGGGUCGUCAAGUCCGAGGCGGCCUCGCAAUCUAUAUCGAUAGCGCCGCCGGCGCCGCCGUUGCCGCCCCAGGAGCACGAGGAGGACGAGACGCCGAUGAUUUGCAUGAUCUGCGAGGACAAGGCGACCGGCCUGCACUACGGUAUCAUCACGUGCGAAGGGUGCAAAGGGUUCUUCAAGAGGACUGUACAAAAUAGGCGGGUGUACACGUGUGUAGCGGAGGGCGGCUGCGAGAUCACGAAGGCGCAGAGGAACAGGUGUCAGUAUUGCCGAUUCAAGAAGUGCAUCGAACAGGGUAUGGUCCUGCAGGCGGUUCGGGAGGACCGGAUGCCUGGGGGCAGGAAUUCCGGUGCAGUGUACAACCUCUACAAGGUGAAGUACAAGAAGCACAAAAAGAGUAACAAGGCGGGUGGCGUCGGUGGCGGCAUGGGAGGCGGUAUGGGUGGCGGCGGCAAUGUCGGUGGUGUGAACGGGUCGGGUUCUUUGGCUGGCAGCAAGGGCACCAUGGCUUCGACCAUGUUGGACAAACACAUGGCCGCGGCCGCGGCGGCUCAUCACAGUCAGCAACAGCAGCAGCAGCAGCAGCAGCAGCAGCAGCAGCAGCAGCAGCAGCAGCAACAGCAGCAGCAGCAGCAGCAUGCGCAGCUCGCCGGCAGCUUCCUUCACCAUCACAAAAUCUCGUCGGGCGAUCCGCUCAACUCGCAACCCACCCCUAGCCACCCGAGUCACCCCGCGCACACGGGCCACCUCGUCAACGGGACGAUCCUGAAGACGGCGCUCACCAAUCCCUCCGAAGUUGUGCAUUUGCGGCCAAGGCUAGACAAUGCAGUAAGCAGUUCGAGGGAUCGAGCCUUUCCUCUGGACGCGACCCUAACCAUGAUCCAAACCCUCAUAGACUGCGACGAGUUUCAAGAUAUCGCCACACUGAGGAACUUGGACGAGCUGCUGGACCAUAACUCAGACUUAAGUGAGAAGCUGUGUCAGAUAGGAGACAGUAUAGUGUACAAGUUGGUGCAGUGGACCAAAAGGUUACCGUUUUACCUUGAGCUGCCAGUUGAAGUUCACACGAGGCUGCUCACCCACAAGUGGCAUGAACUCCUCGUGCUGACCACGUCUGCUUACCAAGCGAUGCAUGGUCAGCACAGGUUCACCAGUGUCGGAACCGACGAGACGGGUGCGGAGUUUAUGCAGGAAGUAUCGAACAACAUGUAUACGUUGCAAACGUGCCUAACCAGCAUGAUGGGUCGAUCGAUAACCAUGGACCAAUUACGGCAAGACGUAGGGGUCAUGGUGGAAAAGAUCACGUAUGUCACGCUAAUGUUCAGGCGGGUGAGGCUACGGAUGGAGGAAUACGUCUGUCUAAAAGUAAUCACUAUGCUCUCACAAGACGCGAAAUCACGAGGAGGUACAACGGAAUUAGAACAGAUACAAGAACGUUAUAUGAAUUGUCUACGAAGUUUUGUCGAGCACAGCGCACCUCAGCAGCCGACUCGAUUUCACGAACUUCUCAUCAGAUUGCCCGAGGUGCAAUCGGCGGCGGCUCUACUACUCGAGAGUAAAAUGUUCUACGUUCCUUUCCUAUUGAACUCAGCAAUUCAAAGAUAGUAAUUAAACAAAAUGACGAUAAACGAAGCUGAAUACCUAUAUACAUACUAUACAUAUAUAUAAAUAUAUACACACAGAAAAAAGAGUAAGAGAACCGAACAAACAGACAACAGCAAAUGACAAACGAACCGAGAAAAACGGAAAAAUAGAGCCCGUGAAAAAGUAAGAGAGAAAAAGAGAGUGAGGACUCGAGCCGAAUGGGGAAAGGCUUUGUUUGUAAGGCGGAAAGGGAAAGGAAGGAUCGUUCAGGCGGGCGAAGAAUUAAAAGGAAUGAAAAGAGCAGUGGACGAUAAAAAGUAACCACGUUGGAAACAGCGAAAGACGAGAAAAUAAAGAGAGAAAGAGAGAGAGAGAGAGAGAGAGAGAGAGAGAA